rnacentral:rRNA from 1 species
UGGGGAAUUUUGGACAAUGGGGGAAACCCUGAUCCAGCCAUCCCGCGUGUGCGAUGAAGGCCUUCGGGUUGUAAAGCACUUUUGGCAGGAAAGAAACGUCAUGGGUUAAUACCCCGUGAAACUGACGGUACCUGCAGAAUAAGCACCGGCUAACUACGUGCCAGCAGCCGCGGUAAUACGUAGGGUGCAAGCGUUAAUCGGAAUUACUGGGCGUAAAGCGUGCGCAGGCGGUUCGGAAAGAAAGAUGUGAAAUCCCAGAGCUCAACUUUGGAACUGCAUUUUUAACUAACGGGCUAGAUUGUGUCAGAGGGAGGUGGAAUUCCGCGUGUAGCAGUGAAAUGCGUAGAUAUGCGGAGGAACACCGAUGGCGAAGGCAGCCUCCUGGGAUAACACUGACGCUCAUGCACGAAAGCGUGGGGAGCAAACAGG